ACAUCGCAUUUUGUAUGGUUUCAUAUAGGAGUUCCAACAUUGGUAGAAACGAUCACAAUCAUCGUUCACGGGAAGUGGUAUCAUAAUAGGAUGGGGAAGAUGGAACGCCUUUUUAUUCUAUUUUCGGGGUGGAGGAAUAUGGGACACUUUUUCAUUCUCUUUUCCCGUACCAUUUUGCAGUAAACACUUUUUACUACGAAACGGGACGAGAAAAUAGAAUAAAAAGUUGUUCCAUCUUCCCCCAUCCUACUAUAUC